GGGUCAGUAGGUUGGUCGUGCCACCGGUACGUACUGGUCUCACUUAUUCCUCCUUCCUGAAGAACCGUAAUGCCAUUAAUUUGGUGUUGCGGGGAAACAGGACUGUUACUUUGAAAAAAUUAGAGUGUUUAAAGCAAGCUAACGCUUGAAUACAUUAGCAUGGAAUAACGAAAUAGGACGAUCGAUCCUAUUUUGUUGGUUUCUAGGAUUGACGUA
rnacentral:rRNA from 1 species